rnacentral:rRNA from 1 species
UACAGAGGUGGCAAGCGUUGUUCGGAAUUACUGGGCGUAAAGGGCGCGUAGGCGGCCUUCUAAGUCAGACGUGAAAUCCCCAGGCUCAACCUGGGAACUGCGUCCGAUACUGGAUGGCUUGAAUUCGGGAGAGGGAUGCAGAAUUCCAGGUGUAGCGGUGAAAUGCGUAGAUAUCUGGAGGAAUACCGGUGGCGAAGGCGGCAUCCUGGACCGACAUUGACGCUGAGGAGCGAAAGCUAGGGGAGCAAACGGG